ACUAGGAGGACUCCUAGUAGUACUAGUACUAGCAUAGCUAAAGGUUCUAAUUUAGAUUAGCAACUAUUUAAUUACAUAGAUUAAAUACUUACUAGAUUUUAGAUAGAUUAGGUUAAAUAAUUAAAAAAUUAGGGAUAUAGGAGUAAGAAAGUUAGUAGGUAGAGGGCUAGUUAUAGGCAGGCUAGGGAUAGGGGUCCGUGCCCUAGGAAGAAGAAGUGAAGGUAAAGGUAGAGGUGAAGGUGGAUUUAUUUUGCAAAAGCUCUUCUUUAAAGAGGGAUCUAAACCUAAUCCUAAGGAUAGGGACUAUCCUUUCUCUACAGGAGGGGGUAGUGUAACAAUAAGGCAGAAUUGCCUGCCUAUUAUUCUAUGCCAAGUUAGGCCUAAUAAAGGCCUAACUUACUAAUGUAUAUAGAGAACAGCUCGCCUAUAGUUAGAAUAGGCAUGUUCUUCUUGUCCUUUCGUACAAGACCUAUAGGUGUAGGAAUCUUAUCCUUUUCUAUACAGACGCGCACUCCCAUAUGCCUUUAAGUCAUAUAGGAUACCUUUUAGAUGCCCUACCUACCUAAGUUAUUAUAAAUAGCGUAUAUUAAAGUUGUUGCAGUUAAAAAGCUCGUAGUUAAAAGUUAGGUCUAGCUAGCAGGUCCGCCUUACCGCGUGUACUUGUCUAGCUAGGCCUUCCUUCUAGAGAACCUUAUGCCCUUUACUAGGCGUGUUAGGGACUAGGACUUUUACUUUAAAAAAAUUAGAGUGUUUAAAGUAGGCCUUUGCUUAAAUACGUUAGCAUAGAAUAAUAGAAUAGGACGUACAGUCCUAUUUUGUUAGUUUCUAGGACUACUAUAAUAAUUAAUAGGGAUAGUUAGGGGCAUUAGUAUUUAAUUAUUAGAGGUGAAAUUCUUAGAUUUAUUAAAGACUAACUACUACGAAAGCAUUUGCUAAGGAUGUUUUUAUUAAUUAGUAAAUAAAAGUUAGGGGAUUAAAGAUAAUUAGAUACUAUCGUAGUCUUAACUGUAAACUAUGCUAACUAGAGAUUAGGCGAUGUUCUUUUUCUAACUCGCUUGGCACCUUAUAAGAAAUUAAAGUUUUUAGGUUCUAGGGGGAGUAUAGUCGCAAGGCUAAAACUUAAAGAAAUUAAUAGAAGGGCACUACUAGGCGUAGAGCCUGCGGCUUAAUUUAACUUAAUAUAGGGAAACUUACUAGGUCUAGAUAAAAUAAGGAUUAAUAGAUUAAGAGCUCUUUCUUAAUUUUUUAGGUGGUGGUGCAUAGCUAUUCUUAGUUAGUAGAGUAAUUUGUCUGCUUAAUUACAAUAACAAACAAGACCUUAACCUACUAAAUAGCUAGGCUAGCUUUAGCUAGUCGCUAGCUUCUUAGAGGGACUAUUAGCUUAAGCUAAUAGAAGUUUAAGGUAAUAACAGGUCUGUAAUACCCUUAGAUAUUCUAGGCUGCACGCGCGCUACACUAAUAGAGCUAAUAAGUUCUUUACCUUAACUAAAAGGUCUAGGUAAUCUUGUUAAACUCUAUCGUGCUAGGGAUAGAGUAUUGCAAUUAUUACUCUUUAACAAGAAAUGCCUAGUAAGCGCGUGUUAUUAGCAUGCGUUAAUUACGUCCCUGCCCUUUGUACACACCGCCUGUCGCUACUACUAAUUAAAUAGCUUAGUAAGGCCUUUAGACUAGCUUAGGGAGGUUAGCAACAACUACCCUAAGCUAGAAAGUUUGUUAAACUUGGUUAUUUAGAGGAAGUAAAAGUCGUAACAAGGUUUCUAUAGGUGAACCUGCAGAAG
rnacentral:rRNA from 1 species